CUCCCCCCUUCUCGUUCGAUCUCCCUCUCCCGAUCUCAACCCUCUCUCUCGAUCUCCCCCUCACUCUCCCUACCUCUCUCUGUGUAAUAGGCCCACCGAAAACGGGUCCAGAACAGAUGACGAGAAUGAGUUCUGGGAGAAAGUGAGUGUGGCGGAGGGGAGGAAAGAAGCUAUGGUGGUGCUGUGGUGUUCUCAGUUGAAGGUUCUGUCUCACUCGUCUAUAGGGUGCUUUGUGUCGCACUCCAACAAAGAAAAACAGAAGCAGGAAGGACACUGAAGUGGCAUAUGCAGAAGGACAGAGAAGUUUACAUUUUCUUCAUUCUUCUUUUCACUUCUCUGAUAUUCCGUUGUAUUAAAGAUGUCUUGUACUAGAAAGAUUUGAUUCAUAACUUAGAAAAUCACAAAGCAACAAUAUUUUUGUGAAUACAAAUUCCUCAUGUUUAAAGUAAUCAAAUACCUGAUUGGUCAAAAGCUUCUCAAUCACCAUCUAUCAGCAUUGCCCGCAAUUUUCAUAUUUUUAUGCAAUCAGGCGGUCUUUUUUUCUUUUUUCUUUUGUAUGCUGCAGGUUGCAUUGUUGGACAAGGGGCUAUAAUAUUGACAUUUUCAAACUUUAUAUAUUGACAAGUUCAGUCUUUGCAUAAUCUAUAUAACACAAUGAAUUCACAAUUAGCAAGGGCUGAGCAACUCUCUGAUUACCUCUUAAAACAAAUGGAUGUGCUUAAUAUAGAGUCAAUGCCUGUAAAGAAACAGAAUGUAGCAAAAGAGUUGUUUGGUUCAAUUGGCCUAGCCUAUGAUAGUGAUGGCUUUUUUUUUUUUUGGUUUCUUUAAUGAAUUUCUAGUAUGUGUUGUGGUAUUUUUUCCUCCUUUAUUUGAUUAUGUUGUUAGGAUUUUGAUGUUUUGCUUGAUAUGAGUUGCAUUGAGUUGUGUUUUUUUUUUUUUUUUUUUUUUUUUGAGAAAUUGGCAGGCAUCAUUGGAAUGUGAAACGGGUUUAUCUAGUGUCAAUUGUAGACGAAUCAUUCUAUCCUCUUCUUCUUCUUCUUCUUUUUUGGGUUAGUUUUGGUCUUCUAUGAUUACUUUGUCAACUCUAUGAAUGGUUCAUUGCUUUCCGUAUUCUAUCGUUUCCACAUGCUUCUCUCUUAGUAGUUAGUUACUUGGAGUUCCGCAACAAUUUACUUUUUGUGGACAAGUAUAGCAGUAGGGAGUACUAUGUGAAAAUGCUCCAGGCCAUGGUCAGAUAAUUUCUUAUGUUAUUUGUAUUCUUUACUUGUCACAGUUAUGCAUGACUUGCGACUUAUUCGCACAGAUUUGAAGCCGGAAAAUAUUCUUCUUGUUUCUAUAGAAUAUGUGAAGGUGCCUGAUUCUAAGAAGGCUUCCUUCUACAAAUGUUCAGUCACCUGACAUAAAUGCACUGUAGUUCUAGAAAUGAGAAGAUGUGUGAAGUCAUGCGGGAUGUUGCAAACUAUUUUCCAACAGCAAUAAUUAGUGGAAGAUGACAUGAUAAGGUACUGGAGCAAUUAGCUACUUUGCAUGGAAAAUGAUCCAAUUUUGGACCUGUUUAUCUAAGUUAUCGUGCAUUGCAUUUCCAUACACUUGGCAUGCAUGUACUGUUCAUCUGCUAGGCAUUGUCACGGAUGGCACAUGGCCCAAAUAUACUAGUCAGUGCAUCGUAGCUGCCGAGUGGACUUUUGGGAUUACAAAUGUUCUGAAGACGGGUAUUGAUGCUGCCAAGUUCCUUGCAUAUUAUGAUAAGUUUACCAAAUUCAUUCUGUAAACCAAAGCUUAAACACUCUGCAACUAAAUGUUCAAACUCAGAGCUGUUGGAUGGUUGUAAUGAAUUCUCUAUAUCUUGGAUCCCCAUUCGCAUUGAGUUUGUGUUAGCAUUAUCAUCUAUUUUGAAGUCUUCGGGCUACUUUGACCCCAUUCCAUCUUGGUCACAUUCUUGUUUUUUUUUUUGGCUGACGUAUAUAUGGGGGCUAAUCCCUUCGCACUCAAUCUCUUAUACAAACUCUGCUAUUUGUAGUUGGCAUAUGGUGGUAUCAAUGGUUGUAGGACAAACUGUACAACUGCCCCAUUGUUCGAGGCAUUUGGAGGAGUGCCCUUUCAGUCAGGUCCAUAUGAGUCCAUCCAAAAAAAAAAAAAAAACAGGGGCAUGCAUUGGGUACAUCGCUGGUAUCAGUCAAAUACAUCCAAUACAACAUGGAGGCUAGAAUUUGAAUUUUGUUUUUGUUUUUGCUUUUUUUUUUUUUUUCAAAAUCUCUCCUUUUUUUAUUUUAUAAUAGGUGGACUGUUGUGUAUGUAAAACAAAUGAAUGGUCAAUAGAAUU